UGGGGAAUCUUGCACAAUGGGGGAAACCCUGAUGCAGCGACGCCGCGUGAACGAUGAAGCCCUUCGGGGUGUAAAGUUCUUUCGACAAGAAGGAUAAUGACGGUACCUGGAGAAGAAGCUGCGGCUAACUACGUGCCAGCAGCCGCGGUAAUACGUAGGCAGCGAGCGUUGUUCGGAGUUACUGGGCGUAAAGAGUGCGUAGGCGGCGAGCCAAGUUUGGUGUGAAAUCUCCCGGCUUAACCGGGAGGGUGCGCCGAAAACUGGUAGGCUGGAGUAUGGGAGAGGAAAGCGGAAUUCCUGGUGUAGCGGUAAAAUGCGUAGAUAUCAGGAGGAACACCUGCGGUGUAGACAGCUUUCUGGACCAAAACUGACGCUGAGGCACGAAAGCGUGGGUAGCAAAC
rnacentral:rRNA from 1 species